rnacentral:rRNA from 1 species
AUUGAACGCUGGCGGCAUGCCUUACACAUGCAAGUCGAACGGCAGCACGGGGCAACCUGGUGGCGAGUGGCGAACGGGUGAGUAAUGCAUCGGAACGUACCUUUCAGUGGGGGAUAACGUAGCGAAAGUUACGCUAAUACCGCAUAUUCUGUGAGCAGGAAAGCAGGGGAUCGCAAGACCUUGCGCUGAUUGAGCGGCCGAUGUCAGAUUAGCUAGUUGGUGAGGUAAAGGCUCACCAAGGCGACGAUCUGUAGCGGGUCUGAGAGGAUGAUCCGCCACACUGGAACUGAGACACGGUCCAGACUCCUACGGGAGGCAGCAGUGGGGAAUUUUGGACAAUGGGCGAAAGCCUGAUCCAGCCAUGCCGCGUGCGGGAAGAAGGCCUUCGGGUUGUAAACCGCUUUUGGCAGGAACGAAACGGCGCGGGCCAAUACCCCGCGCUAAUGACGGUACCUGCAGAAUAAGCACCGGCUAACUACGUGCCAGCCGCCGCGGUAACAC